AUUGAACGCUGGCGGCAUGCUUUACACAUGCAAGUCGAACGGUAACAGGCCUUCGGGUGCUGACGAGUGGCGAACGGGUGAGUAAUGCAUCGGAACGUGCCCAGAGGUGGGGGAUAACGCAGCGAAAGCUGUGCUAAUACCGCAUGUGAUCUGAGGAUGAAAGCGGGGGACCAGGCAGCAAUGUUUGGCCUCGCGCCUUUGGAGCGGCCGAUGUCAGAUUAGGUAGUUGGUGGGGUAAAGGCCUACCAAGCCGACGAUCUGUAGCUGGUCUGAGAGGACGACCAGCCACACUGGGACUGAGACACGGCCCAGACUCCUACGGGAGGCAGCAGUGGGGAAUUUUGGACAAUGGGCGCAAGCCUGAUCCAGCAAUGCCGCGUGCGGGAAGAAGGCCUUCGGGUUGUAAACCGCUUUUGUACGGAACGAAAAGGCACUGGCUAAUACCUGGGGCUGAUGACGGUACCGUAAGAAUAAGCACCGGCUAACUACGUG
rnacentral:rRNA from 1 species